UACAGGGGGUGCAAACGUUGCUCGGAAUCAUUGGGCGUAAAGCGCACGUAGGCGGUCUGUUAUGUCGGAUGUGAAAGCCCUUGGCUCAACUGAGGAAGUGCAUCCGAAACUGGCAGGCUAGAGUACUAAAGAGGGUCGCGGAAUUCCCGGUGUAGAGGUGAAAUUCGUAGAUAUCGGGAGGAACACCGGUGGCGAAGGCGGCGACCUGGGUAGAUACUGACGCUGAGGUGCGAAGCGUGGGAGCAAACAGG
rnacentral:rRNA from 1 species